ACUCCUACGGGAGGCAGCAGUGGGGAAUCUUAGACAAUGGGGGAAACCCUGAUCUAGCCAUGCCGCGUGAGCGAUGAAGGCCUUAGGGGUUGUAAAAGCUCUUUCAGCGGGGAAGAUAAUGACGGUACCCGCAGAAGAAGCCCCGGCUAACUCCGUUGCCAGCAGCCGCGGUAAUACGGAGGGGCUAGCGUUGUUCGGAAUUACUGGGCGUAAAGCGCGCGUAGCGGAUUGGAAAGUCAGAGGUGAAAUCCCGGGCUCAACCCGGAACUGCCUUUGAAACUCCCAGUCUUGAGUUCGAGAGAGGUGAGUGGAAUUCCGAGUGUAGAGGUGAAAUUCGUAGAGUAUUCGGAGGAACACCAGUGGCGAAGGCGGCUCACUGGCUCGAUACUGACGCUGAGGUGCG
rnacentral:rRNA from 1 species